rnacentral:tRNA from 1 species
GCCAUGGUGGCACAGUGGUUAAGCAUUUGGCUGUUAACCAAAAGUUCAGCAAUUUGAAUAUACCAACUUGUCCUUGGAAACCCUAUGUGGCAGUUCUACUCUGUCCUAUAGGG